CACCUGAGAGAGCUGGAUCUGAGCUACAAUCACCCAGGACAAGCAUUAGUCAAGCUGCUCUCUGAUCCAAACUACAGACUGGACAAACUCAAUGUGGAUCAUGGAGGAAAGU